CCUACGGGAGGCAGCAGUGAGGAAUAUUGGUCAAUGGCCGUAAGGCUGAACCAGCCAAGCCGCGUGAAGGAAGACGGCUCUAUGGUUUGUAAACUUCUUUUAUAGGGGAAUAAAGGUAUCCACGUGUGUAUAUUUGCAUGUACUCUAUGAAUAAGCAUCGGCUAACUCCGUGCCAGCAGCCGCGGUAAUACGGAGGAUGCGAGCGUUAUCCGGAUUUAUUGGGUUUAAAGGGUGCGAAGGCGGAAGAUCAAGUCAGCGGUAAAAUUGCGAGGCACAACCUGUUCCAGCCGUUGAAACUGGUUAUAUAGAGUGAGCGAGAGGUAUGCGGAAUGCGUGGUGUAGCGGUGAAAUGCAUAGAGAUCACGCAGAACACCGAUUGCGAAGGCAGCAUACCGGCGCUCAACUGACGCUCAUGCACGAAAGUGUGGGUAGCGAACAGGAUUAGAUACCCCAGUAGUC
rnacentral:rRNA from 1 species